UCCAAGUUAAUAAAGUAAUUUUGUAUUAGUUUCUGGUAUAUGUCGAGUUGUAUAAAUGCACCAGUGACUACAGAAACUCUGAUUGAUGUCUACUGGUUCUGCAAAUGAUUCAUGAAAAUGCCUUGAUCUUGGCAUACUUAUGGUUUUUGAUGGGUAACAUUCUUCUUGGAUUAAUCCGAGCAGCACCAAGCAGGCUGUGGCCAGAAACCGACAUGGGAGUCAAGCCUCGGAGCUGGGAUCAGCGGGCUCCCCCCCCCCCCCGCCUCCCGCUGCACCGCACUGCAAGUGGAGAGAUGGAGCAACAGCAGGUCGCCCGCCUGUAGCCAACAGUUCAUCGACUGCCCGAUGCAGCUGCUCUCCAUCGAUUCAUGCAUCCCCAACCUUGGACAGCACGUGGAAGGCACUAACCAUGGCCACCUCUUCCUCCUCAUCCGACUGCUCCUCAGGAAGUAGGCGUACACACGAAGGUGAGCGGUCAAAGCGGUCAAAGAACAAGGACAAGAAGAGUGGGACCGCGGAGGACCAGCAACGCUGUGUGAUCUCAACCCCCCUCGACAACGAAUCCCUCGAUGAUGCAUGCAGGGUAAAUUUCUCUGGUUGUUUUGGCCGGUUUACUUCUCUGCAAGGACCAGUGAAUGAUGGGCUUCUUCCAUGAACGAGAGAAGGUGGAAAGGACGAAGGACAAUGAGAAGAAGAAGAAGAAGAAGAAUGUAAGGUUUGGGGAUGCUAAUGAGUACCACUUAGCUGCGAUAACAGCUCCAUUAGCUUCUCGUCUCAGGGACUGAGUAACUCUGCCUGCAUGCGUGCAGUAUGAUUGCUCGUAGAGAUAGGAAGAAACAGGUUUAACAGAGGAAGUAGAUCUCAAGAGAUCUCAUGGAAAGCGACGGAGCUCAGACACCGUCAGAUCUGCCCAAAACCAUAAAGAAUUGGCAAGCUUGGCUGUAUCUCCAGACAUUCCAUGUCUGGUCCUCCACGUAGCCAUCUCAUUUCCUUGUAGAAGACAAUGGCGUCCUGCAGCUGCUCUCUUCCUCCCUUUCCUCGAAGCUCGAUUCCAAGCUCCCAUCAACCACUUCUUUCUUUUCCUUAGGGGAAUAGUUUUACUACGGGGGUACUCACCGAGACCGCUGCAGUAAUUUAGUACGCGGGAGGGUGGUCCGACCAUGGCGUGCCCGUGCUUCCGUUGCACACCAAAGGCUCCUCGCCAUAUCUGAGGGAGGAGGGGGUGGUCAUCUAGCCAUUCCCCCACGUCGCGCCGGUGGUCCCCGCGGGUGGAGAUCUCGUGGUCGUCUUGUUGCCUUGUGGUCGCCUGCCCACACGCACAUGGGUGGGCGUAGGCAGCUGCAGCUGCAGCUACACCACCUCUCUCUCUCUCUCUCUCUCUCUCUCUCUCUCUCUCUCUCUCUCUCUCUCUCUCUCUACUGUUGUGCUCUGAUCGAUAACGUUGAACGCUUCUACGAUGCAUCAGGCAGCCAGGGAAGGAGUGCAGCGGAAAUAAAUGAGGCCAAUAACUGCUCGCUCUACCCCGUCUUGAAUGGCGAAAAGGAGAGCUGAUGGAUGGAUAAGCCGCCCAUCGCAUUUCCAUUCCUCUGAAAGCUCAGUGAGCGAGUAGGUGGGCUUUGGCUGCCGCUGUGGCAGCGAACGAGAGAGAGAGAGAGAGAGAGAGGAGGGGAGGGGUGGGAGACAUACGUGAAAGCCGGGGGGAAGUACGUCUCCUUCAGCCCGGAGUUCCCAAACUGGCCCUCGAUCUCGAGUCAUGUCUUAAGAAGGUCGAGGGCUUUAUAGUCAUUUCGAGAGUUGAACUGUAACAGGGUCGGGCGUGUUGUGCUGGGUUUUGUAUGUAUAUAAAGUAGGAAGAGAAAGUGGAGGAGAGAUGAGAGCGAGUUGUUGUCUUCCUCAGACACUCUUUUCUUUCUGGGCGGAAGGAGAGGACGAGGCAAAGGCAUUAUUAUUAAAGCGCCGGCAUGAGAGGAGGGUGAAGGUGAAGGAGAAGGAAGAAAGUGGCCGGAAGAAAGCUAAGCUAAGCUAAGCAAAGCAGCAGUGCUUCGUUAGAGGAUUCGUUGGUCUGCCAACUGAGGAGGAAGGAAAGAGAUGGAAAUGGUGCAAGUGGCCGCCAGGGCAGCCAUCGUGCGGUGGACGGGUGAGGGGAGGUCUCACGACAGUGCAGAUGAAGACGAAGGUGAGGAUGCCCAAAGUGCGGACAAUGCUCCCCUGUUUUGAGGUUCGUGAGUUCGUUCAUGGGUUCUGUGAUAUUGGCAUAAGCGGCUCAAUCACUCUUCUUUCGUCUUCUUCUUCUUCUUCUUUGUUUCUUUUGGCUACUCUUGCUCACAUUACCAACAUUUGGUUCUGUAAUCGCCUCUUGUUUCCGUCGCCAAAUCCUGUAACAUUGUCUUCUCCUUUGCUGCUGCUGCUGCUGCUACUGGUGGUGGUGGUGGUGGUGGAAAGAAGGGGAUGGGACAGUGGAUGGUUGGCCUGGGUUGUCUCGCUUGGCAGCAUCAUGGUCAUCAUGCCACCCCCUCCUUUCCCACAUCUUCUCCCCUUUUGUAUUGUGGGAUGUUUUGUUUGGUUUCUUUCUCUU